rnacentral:tRNA from 1 species
UCCCUGGUGGCUCAGCGGUAGAGAAUCUGCCUGCAAUGCAGGAGACCCAGGUUCGAUCCCUGGGUCGGGAA